UCAGUGUGAUGAUUCUCUGAAGACUCAGCAUCAGCUUCUCUCCCUACCUGACUUCUACCGGAGCUUGGAAAAGGCCAAGUUUCCUCUGAUGAGACGCCACGCAAAACAAAUGUUGAGUCUGUUCGGCUCAACAUACAUCUGUGAGCAGACAUUCUCUCUGUUAACGCUGAACAAAAGCAGGCUGAGAACCAGAACGACCGACAGCCAUCUCCGUGACGUCCUUCGCAUCUCAACCACCAAACUUACUCCUGACCUGCCAGCUAUCCUUCAGACCAAAGCGCAGCAUCACUGCUCCCACUGAGCGCAACAUUCUUCCCAUUGCAGGACAAGGAAGGGGGAUCAGCACCCUAAGAACCAAUCUGAGGCUGUCACUGAGAGAAUGACCUGCCAACCUUUUUGUAAAAAAUAAAAUGAAAAUCUACUAAUG